GAUGAAGAACGCAGCGAAAUGCGAUAAGUAAUGUGAAUUGCAGAAUUCAGUGAAUCAUCGAAUCUUUGAACGCACAUUUCGCCCGCCAGUAUUCUGGCGGGCAUGCCUGUUCGAGCGUCAUUACAACCCUCAGGCCCCCGGGCCUGGCGUUGGGGAUCGGCGGAGCCCCCCGUGGGCACACGCCGUCCCCCAAAUACAGUGGCGGUCCCGCCGCAGCUUCCAUCGCGUAGUAGCUAACACCUCGCGACUGGAGAGCGGCGCGGCCACGCCGUAAAACACCCAACUCUUCUGAAGUUGACCUCGAAUCAGGUAGGAAUACCCGCUGAACUUAAGCAUAUCAAUAAGCGGAGGA
rnacentral:misc_RNA from 1 species